GGUCCCCUACGGGACGCAGCAGUGAGGAAUAUUGGUCAAUGGGCGGUAGCCUGAACCAGCCAAGUAGCGUGAAGGAUGAAGGUUCUAUGGAUUGUAAACUUCUUUUAUAAAGGAAUAAAGUGAGGCACGUGUGCCUUUUUGUAUGUACUUUAUGGAUAAGGAUCGGCUAACUCCGUGCCAGCAGCCGCGGUAAUACGGAGGAUCCGAGCGUUAUCCGGAUUUAUUGGGUUUAAAGGGAGCGUAGAUGGGUUGUUAAG
rnacentral:rRNA from 1 species